GACGAACCGUGCGAACGUUGUUCGGAAUCACUGGGCUUAAAGGGCGCGUAGGCGGGUUCGCAAGUCUGUGGUGAAAGCCUCCAGCUUAACUGGAGAAGUGCCGUGGAUACUGCGAAUCUUGAGGAGGGUAGGGGCGUCUGGAACGGUCGGUGGAGCGGUGAAAUGCGUAGAUAUCACUUGGAACGCCAAUGGUGAAAACAGACUGCUGGGGGUGUGCUGACGCUGAGACACGAAAGCCAGGGGAGCAAACGGG
rnacentral:rRNA from 1 species